rnacentral:rRNA from 1 species
AGGGUAAUGGCCUACCAAGGCUACGACGGAUAGCUGGUCUGAGAGGACGAUCAGCCACACUGGGACUGAGACACGGCCCAGACUCCUACGGGAGGCUGCAGCAGGGAAUAUUGCGCAAUGAGCGAAAGCUUGACGCAGCGACACCGCGUGUGGGAUGACGGAUCUAGGUUUGUAAACCACUUUCAGGAGGGAAGAAAAUGACGGUACCUCCACAAGAAGCCCCGGCCAACUACGUGCCAGCAGCCGCGGUAAUACGUAGGGGGCGAGCGUUGUCCGGAUUUAUUGGGCGUAAAGAGCUCGUAGGCGGUUCAACAAGUCGGUCGUGAAAGUUCAGGGCUCAACCCUGAAAUGUCGAUCGAUACUGUUGUGACUAGGAUACGGUAGAGGUGAGUGGAAUUCCGAGUGUAGCGGUGAAAUGCGUAGAUAUUCGGAGGAACACCAAUUGCGAAGGCAGCUCACUGGGCCGCUAUCGACGCUGAGGAGCGAAAGCUAGGGGAGCAAACAGGAUUAGAUACCCUGGUAGUCCUAGCUGUAAACGAUGGAUACUAGACGUAGGAAUUGGAUUAACGAUUUCUGUGUCGUAGCUAACGCGUUAAGUAUCCCGCCUGGGGAGUACGGUCGCAAGACUAAAACUCAAAGGAAUUGACGGGACCCCGCACAAGCGGCGGAGCAUGCGGCUUAAU